AGAGUUUGAUCCUGGCUCAGGACGAACGCUGGCGGCGUGCCUAAUACAUGCAAGUAGAACGCUGAAGAGAGGAGCUUGCUCUUCUUGGAUGAGUUGCGAACGGGUGAGUAACGCGUAGGUAACCUGCCUUGUAGCGGGGGAUAACUAUUGGAAACGAUAGCUAAUACCGCAUAACAAUGGAUGACACAUGUCAUUUAUUUGAAAGGGGCAAUUGCUCCACUACAAGAUGGACCUGCGUUGUAUUAGCUAGUAGGUGAGGUAACGGCUCACCUAGGCGACGAUACAUAGCCGACCUGAGAGGGUGAUCGGCCACACUGGGACUGAGACACGGCCCAGACUCCUACGGGAGGCAGCAGUAGGGAAUCUUCGGCAAUGGGGGCAACCCUGACCGAGCAACGCCGCGUGAGUGAAGAAGGUUUUCGGAUCGUAAAGCUCUGUUGUAAGUCAAGAACGAGUGUGAGAGUGGAAAGUUCACACUGUGACGGUAGCUUACCAGAAAGGGACGGCUAACUACGUGCCAGCAGCCGCGGUAAUACGUAGGUCCCGAGCGUUGUCCGGAUUUAUUGGGCGUAAAGCGAGCGCAGGCGGUUUGAUAAGUCUGAAGUUAAAGGCUGUGGCUCAACCAUAGUUCGCUUUGGAAACUGUCAAACUUGAGUGCAGAAGGGGAGAGUGGAAUUCCAUGUGUAGCGGUGAAAUGCGUAGAUAUAUGGAGGAACACCGGUGGCGAAAGCGGCUCUCUGGUCUGUAACUGACGCUGAGGCUCGAAAGCGUGGGGAGCGAACAGGAUUAGAUACCCUGGUAGUCCACGCCGUAAACGAUGAGUGCUAGGUGUUGGAUCCUUUCCGGGAUUCAGUGCCGCAGCUAACGCAUUAAGCACUCCGCCUGGGGAGUACGACCGCAAGGUUGAAACUCAAAGGAAU
rnacentral:rRNA from 1 species